UACGGAGGGUGCAAGCGUUGUCCGGAAUCACUGGGCGUAAAGGGCGCGUAGGCGGCUCAUGAAGGCUGUGGUGAAAGUCCGGGCUCAACCUCGGAUCGGCCGUGGCGACUCGUGGGCUGGAGCACUGUAGAGGCGGGUGGAAUUCCGGGUGUAGCGGUGGAAUGCGUAGAGAUCCGGAAGAACACCAGUGGCGAAGGCGGCCCGCUGGGCAGUGGCUGACGCUGAGGCGCGACAGGCGUGGGGAGCAAACAGG
rnacentral:rRNA from 1 species